GAAACGAAACUAGCCAAAAUUGACAUAAAAAGAACUCAAAAUUAGGUACUCUUCUAUCACUACGGUUUUGGAUACUAUUUUGUUCUCAGUCUUCAAUACUUUUCACUCAAAGCUGAAGUACGUCAAAACUACUCGCUUUUGAGUAAAAUGGAACUUGAACGCAUCAGCGCUUUUUGUUUUGCUUCCCAUUUUCGCAAAGUAUCCAAAAGGGAGUGUUGAUGCAGUACUCAGCAUUGGCUGAAAAUUCAUCACGUACGCCAUAUUGGAUCAAAUUGAUGCGUGCAUUCCGGAACACCCGACCGAACCGGCGGCACCGAUGGAAACGUGUGCAUGGAUUUCAGU